rnacentral:rRNA from 1 species
AACGAACGCUGGCGGCAUGCCUAACACAUGCAAGUCGAACGGGAUCCUGGUUUCGGCCAGGUGAGAGUGGCGGACGGGUGAGUAACGCGUGGGAACCUGCCCAGUGGUGGGGGAUAACUGCGGGAAACUGCAGCUAAUACCGCAUGAGCCCGAAAGGGGAAAGAUUGAUCGCCAUUGGAGGGGCCCGCGUUCGAUUAGGUAGUUGGUGAGGUAACGGCUCACCAAGCCUUCGAUCGANAGCUGGUCUGAGAGGAUGAUCAGCCACACUGGGACUGAGAUACGGCCCAGACUCCUACGGGAGGCAGCAGUGGGGAAUAUUGGACAAUGGGGCAACCCUGAUCCAGCAAUGCCGCGUGAGUGAUGAAGGCCUUCGGUUGUAAGU